rnacentral:rRNA from 1 species
UACGUAGGGAGCAAGCGUUGUCCGGAAUCAUUGGGCGUAAAGCGCGCGUAGGUGGCCCCGUAAGUCCGCUGUGAAAGUCAAAGGCUCAACCUUUGAAAGCCGGUGGAUACUGUGGGACUAGAGUACGGAAGAGGCGAGUGGAAUUCCUGGUGUAGCGGUGGAAUGCGCAGAUAUCAGGAGGAACACCAAUAGCGAAGGCAGCUCGCUGGGACGUGACUGACGCUGAGACGCGAAAGCGUGGGGAGCAAACAGG